AUACGUAGGGAGCGAGCGUUGUCCGGAAUUACUGGGUGUAAAGGGAGCGUAGGCGGGAGUGCAAGUCAGAUGUGAAAUACAUGGGCUCAACCCAUGGGCUGCAUUUGAAACUGCAUUUCUUGAGUGAAGUAGAGGUAAGCGGAAUUCCUGGUGUAGCGGUGAAAUGCGUAGAUAUCAGGAGGGACACCGGUGGCGAAGGCGGCUUACUGGGCUUUUACUGACGCUGAGGCUCGAAAGCGUGGGGAGCAAACAGGAUUAGAUACCCUGGUAGUCCACGCUGUAAACGAUGAUUACUAGGUGUGGGGGGACUGACCCCUUCCGUGCCGCAGUUAACACAAUAAGUAAUCCACCUGGGGAGUACGGCCGCAAGGUUGAAACUCAAAUGAAUUGACGGGG
rnacentral:rRNA from 1 species